GUGCUCACUUCGGCAACACACAUACUAAAAUUAGAACAAUACAGAGAAGAUUAGCAUGGCCCUUAUGCAAGGAUGACAUGCAAAUUCAUGAAGUGUUCCAUAUUAAA